CCUACGGGAGGCAGCAGUGAGGAAUAUUGGUCAAUGGUCGGGAGACUGAACCAGCCAAGCCGCGUGAGGGAUGAAGGUACAGAGUAUCGUAAACCUCUUUUGUCAGGGAACAAAGGCGGGGACGCGUCCCCGGAUGAGUGUACCUGAAGAAAAAGCAUCGGCUAACUCCGUGCCAGCAGCCGCGGUAAUACGGAGUAUGCGAGCGUUAUCCGGAUUUAUUGGGUUUAAAGGGUGCGCAGGCGGUCUGUUAAGUCAGCGGUAAAAGCCCGGGGCUCAACCCCGGCCCGCCGUUGAAACUGACAGUCUCGAGUUGGAGAGAAGUAUGCGGAAUGCGCGGGGUAGCGGUGAAAUGCAUAGAUAUCGCGCAGAACUCCGAUUGCGAAGGCAGCAUGCCGGCUCCACACUGACGCUGAGGCACGAAAGCGUGGGUAUCGAACAGGAUUAGAUACCCCUGUAGUC
rnacentral:rRNA from 1 species